UGUAUUCUUCAUGCAUAACUUAUAUUUCAUCCACGGACCCUUCUUGCCUUAUGGCUACACGGUCAUACGACCGAUGCAUCACUAGUGUGGGCCCCGAUGUAAGAUCGCCCAUGGAAGUAACAGAAAAAAUAGAAGAAGAGGACGAGGAAGAGAUGGGUUGGAGCAGAGAUACGGUCCCUCGUGUGCUGCAGAUAGUGAGCACGAGACUUCCUCAGAGAGACCUUAUCUCUCUCUUACCGGUCAGCCCGUGGUUGUACCGUACACUUUCCUCCUACCAUUCUCUCUGGAAGGUUCUUGAUUUGCAUGAGAUGAACAAUGCUGGUGAACGGCUGAUUGCUGCUCUUUCACUGCCCAGAUACCAACAUAUUAAGCAGAUAAACCUUGAGUUUGCACAAGAUAUUGAAGACAAACAUCUCAUUCAACUUAAGGGCAAGUGCAUGGAGGCACUUCAAGAUUUGGAAUCUCUAAAUCUUAAUGGCUGCCAGAAGAUCUCUGAUAAGGGAUUUGAAGCUGUAACUAGUGCUUGCCUUAAACUCAAGGUGUUAUCCAUCUAUUGGAAUGUGAGGGUGUCAGAUUUAGGCAUAAAGCAUAUGGUGGAUCACUGCAAAUAUAUAGUUGAUUUAAACUUGAGUGGUUGUAAGAAUAUCACAGACAAAAGCUUGCACCUAAUUGCCGAUAAUUACCAAGAGCUGGAGUUUUUGAAUCUCACCAGGUGUGUUAAGGUAACAGAUGGUGGAUUGCAACAAGUAUUGCUUAAGUGUUGCUUGUUACGAAGUCUCAACCUUUAUGCACUCUCAAGCUUCACUGAUGAAGCUUACAAGAAGAUUGCAGUUUUAGCUCAUCUGAGGUUCUUAGAUCUCUGUGGUGCACAGAAUCUUUCCGAUCAAGGCCUUUCCUGUAUAGCCAAGUGCAAGAAUCUGGUGUCUCUGAACUUGACAUGGUGUGUUCAAAUCACUGAUGUGGGAGUGAUAGCCAUUGCAGAAGGUUGCUGCUCUCUUGAAUUUCUAAGCUUGUUUGGAAUCGUUGGAGUGACAGAUAGGUGCCUGGAGGUCCUGUCAAGGUUCUGCUCAAAUACACUAGCAACCCUUGAUGUUAAUGGAUGUAUUGGCAUUAAGAGACGGAGCCGUGAUGAAUUGCUACAAUUGUUCCCACAUCUGAGGUGCUUCAAAGUGCAUAGCUAGUAAUUUGGUCCGUGGAAGCACUUCAAUAAACAUUUUGCACCAACAUGACUAUCACACUCAAUGAAGCGUCUAUCCAGCUUCUAUUGCUUGACAUACAUUAGCAAGGCAUCCCAAGGGAGAAACCAGAACUAGGAGCCAUUGUCGACGCCAAGAAGAUUUCUCAGGUGAAGGUUUGUGUUACAAAAGAAAUCAUAUUCCUUUGUUUCUUUAUGGGUUCUUGGGCAAUAUCUGUUCAUGAAAUCGACUUCGGAUUCGAUAUCUGAAGUCGGACAGCGUAGGUGAAUCAUGUGAUCUCAACCUGAAUCAUUGCAGUUCCAACGGUUGAAUCAUGUGAUCUCAACCAUUUGAAUCAUUGAAGUGGCAUACAUACUGUUAAAUUUGGCACCGACCCUCUCCAGGUCUCUCUUUUCCUUUUCCAUGUGUGUGGCAUCGAUGCCCUUUCUCUAAUGCAUUUCAUCCAGAUCAAUGCCAUGUAAGUGUUUUUUUUUUUUUUUUUUUUU